rnacentral:rRNA from 1 species
AUUGAACGCUGGCGGCAGGCCUAACACAUGCAAGUCGAACGCGUGGCGGACGGGUGAGAAGUGUCGGGAAAACUCCCUGAGGGAGGGGGAUCACCACUGGAAACUGUAUAUAAUACCGCAAUCCAUCCUGAGCGCCCCGAUGGGAUUAGCUUGGUGGUGGGGUAGUGGCUCACAAAGGCGAAGAUCCCUCGCUGGUCUGAGAGGAUGACCAGCCACACUGUAACUGAGACACGGCCCAGACUCCUACGGUAGGCAGCAGUGGGGAAUAUUGCACAAGGGGCGCAAGCCUGAUGCAGCCAUGCCGCGUGUAUGAAGAAGGCCUUAGGGUUGUAAAGUACUUUCAGCGGGGAGGCGUUACCGGCAGAAGAAGCACCGGCUAACUCCGUGCCAGCAGCCGCGGUAAUUC